GAAAAGAUAAGCUAAGUUUAAGCUUAUGGGCUCAUACCCCAUCUAUGAAAUUGUUUUCUCUUUUUA
rnacentral:tRNA from 1 species